ACUGCAGUCGWGGGGCAGCAGGGGUAGCAAUACUCGCUGGCGACCGGCAAACGGGUGCGGAACACGUACGCAACUUUCCUUCAAGUGAGGAAUAGCCCAGGGAAACUUGGAUUAAUACCUCGUAAUAUUAUGAAGUGGCAUCACUUUAUAAUUAUAGCUCCGGCGCUUGAAGAUGGGCGUGCGCCUGAUUAGGUAGUUGGCGGGGUAACGGCCCACCAAGCCUACGAUCAGUAACUGGUGUGAGAGCACGACCAGUCACACGGGCACUGAGACACGGGCCCGACUCCUACGGGAGGCAGCAGUAAGGAAUAUUGGGCAAUGGACGCAAGUCUGACCCAGCCAUGCCGCGUGGAGGAUGAAGGUCCUCUGGAUUGUAAACUYCUUUUAUCUGGGAAGAAAUSCAKAUWUUCUWAUSUGKUUGACGGUACCAGAUGAAUAAGCACCGGCUAACUCCGUGCCAGCAGCCGCGGUAAUACGGAGGGUGCAAGCGUUAUCCGGAUUCACUGGGUUUAAAGGGUGCGUAGGUGGRSWGGUAAGUCAGUGGUGAAAUCUCCRRGCUUAACUYGGAAACUGCCGUUGAUACUAUCWKUCUUGAAUAUCGUGGAGGUWAGCGGAAUAUGUCAUGUAGCGGUGAAAUGCUUAGAUAUGACAUAGAACACCGAUUGCGAAGGCAGCUUGCUACACGAUCAUUGACACUGAGGCACGAAAGCGUG
rnacentral:rRNA from 1 species